rnacentral:tRNA from 1 species
GGAGAGGUGCGUGAGUGGUUUAAACGGGCGGUCUUGAAAACCGCUGUACCCUAACGGGUACCGGGGGUUCGAAUCCCUCCCUCUCCGCCA